AAACUAUGGUUUGGGCAUCUUAGCAACAAAGACUUAAAUCUCUCCCAUGUUUCACAGAGAGGUUCAUCAGACCAUUGGGAAAAAAAAGUGAUGGCUAAUUUU
rfam:Glycine soja cultivar W05 scaffold3142_5, whole genome shotgun sequence.